GCAGGGACGGAGCGUCCCCGCCGCCGCAGCAUCCCCGAGAUGCCCAAGGCUCCGCCGGGAGCCUCCGACCCCUCUCGGGGACGAUGCGGCGGCGGGAAUUUCCCCCGGGGAUGCUUGUGGGGUGCCCCGGUGAUGCGGGAAGUUAUCCCUGUUACCACCCUGUACCCGCAUCCCCAGAGCUCCGGGCUGCUCGCCCGCUCCCGGGGCGGUUUCGUUCCGCGGUUUCUUCUGUUUUAACUCUAUUUAGGAAGCCCAGUCUGUUGCUAGAAGUUUGGAAACGGGUUGUUGGGGUGAAAUGAUGCAGUUUUGGCUUCUGGCAGCAGUUUGGGAGCUCUGCAGAGUGAGCAGCACUGGACUGUGGCAGGGAGAGGAUGAUUACACCCUGCCAGAAGCAUUAACAUUGGCUAGUGUUGUAACUUGGAAGGGGCAGUGCAGGAUCACUGUGGGAGCAAACACUUUUAGAAGAGCAUGCAGCAGCCAGGCAGAGCCUGUUAUCCCAAGUCUCCCACUGCCCAGUGUUUCAGCUCCUCUGGGAGUGUUCCUCACUGGAUAUUUGUAUCAUAAACUAAUUUCAAUAUUCAGUAAAAUAAUUGCUAUUAGUAUCCUAA